rnacentral:lncRNA from 1 species
GUGGAGGUUUCACAACAACCUAGAAGCUGUCCCAUGCCAGAUCUCUGUCGGUGAGAAAAUGUGUGUGGAUGCUGACUUCUAGAAGACUCCAAAGCGCUUGUCUUCCCCACUCCCCAUUUCCAAAGGCUGAGACUCCUCUGCACUCCGAGUUUCCUCCCACGCUUCGUCUGAAGAGUGGGUUUUGGGGAGUGAAGGAUAGAAAAUAUCUGAAGACUCUUCCCUAUGACUUAAGACAUGAAUUUUCUUCUCAAGUCUUGAACUAAAGUCAGAAAGUGUUUGCAAGAAAUGUUCUUCUAGGUCCCACAUCCACGGGACCAGAUGAUGCCUGGCUUCCUGAUGGAGUAGCCAACCUUGCAGAUGGCCCUCGAUGAUCGGCAGUACCUGGUCUUCAUGUGCUUGUGUUGUUCCUCAAUAUUGUCCCUCAAAUGUUGAAUCAGGACUACAGUGGAAAUUAUAAUGUGACUUCUGAGGCCAGGUCAUAAAAGGCAUUGCUGCUUCUGCCCUGGCCUCUUGGAUUGCUUGCUCUGUGAGAAGCUAGCUGCCAUGUUGUGAGGACACUCAAGCAGCUCUGUGGAGAGGCCCAUAUGGAGAGGAACUGAAGGCUGGGCAACAGCCACACCAACUGGCCAGCCAAGGAAAUGAACUAUCUUGGAAGUGGGUCCCUAGCUCCAGCCAGAUGCAUGUAGCCCAGCUAAAAACUGAAUGCACCCUUAGAGCUCCCAAAACAGAACAUUCCAUCCAAGGUGCUCUCAAAUUCUUGAACCAGAGAAACUAGAAGAGAUAACAAUUAUUUUUCUUUUAAGUUCCUAAGUGUUGGGGUAACUUGUUAUGCAGCAAAGCAUAACUAAUAAAUAUUUAGUUCCUAGAAGCAAGAUGCUGCUGUAACAAAAAUCUAAAAAUAUGAGAGUGGUUUUGGGACCAAGAGUGGGAAAAAGUUGUAGAGACCAUGAAGAGAGUGUG